GACGUAGGGGGCGAGCGUUGUCCGGAGUUACUGGGCGUAAAGGGCGCGCAGGCGGCCGCGCGCGCCGCACCGUGAAAGCCCCCGGCUCAACCGGGCGGUGGCGGGCGGGACGGCGCGGCUGGAGGGUGGUAGGGGCCAGUGGAAUUCCCGGUGUAGUGGUGAAAUGCGUAGAUACCGGGAGGAACACCCGCAGCGAAGGCGGCUGGCUGGGCCAUUCCUGACGCUGAGGCGCGAAGGCGCGGGGAGCGAACGGG
rnacentral:rRNA from 1 species